GCUGUCGUCAGCUCGUGUUGUGAAAUGUUGGGUUAAGUCCCGCAACGAGCGCAACCCUUAUCCUUUGUUGCCAGCGAUUAGGUCGGGAACUCAAAGGAGACUGCCAGUGAUAAACUGGAGGAAGGUGGGGAUGACGUCAAGUCAUCAUGGCCCUUACGACCAGGGCUACACACGUGCUACAAUGGCGCAUACAAAGAGAAGCGACCUCGCGAGAGCAAGCGGACCUCAUAAAGUGCGUCGUAGUCCGGAUUGGAGUCUGCAACUCGACUCCAUGAAGUCGGAAUCGCUAGUAAUCGUGGAUCAGAAUGCCACGGUGAAUACGUUCCCGGGCCUUGUACACACCGCCCGUCACACCAUGGGAGUGGGUUGCAAAAGAAGUAGGUAGCUUAACCUUCGGGAGGGC
rnacentral:rRNA from 1 species